UCUAAUAUAGAUUACUGUACCUUUUUUUUCUGAGGUAGAGAGUAAUCGAUGAUAACCAUUCAAUAUUCUACUGAUGUCUCAUAAUCUGGAUUAAAAUGGCCAAUUAUUUCAGAGUUACGUUCCAUUUAAUGAACACAGAUGUGUCCAUGGGGCACAAUGCCUGGGGCCUGCUAUACGAUUAUGGGUCCUGUGAUGUUGUUUAAAUUUCUUUUAAGAUCAGAAGAAAUAAAUGCAGGUUUAGGAUGGAAGCACGGAUUCACCUUUACACCAAUGCAGCCCUACAGCAUAAACAAUUAAAAAGUAAAAAGACAUGUAGACAAUGACAGUGUUUCAAGCUUUGCCUUUCUCUGUGAUUUGAACUGUGGCAGACACAAUAGUAAAUGCUUGGCCCACACCCCCUUGGCUUUUAUUUCCUUGAAUUCUCUGCACAUGUUGGCAAAUUGGAAGUGCUGGGAGAUGAAUGUCUCCUGGUAGAAGCUCUCAAGCGAUGGCAAACCAGGAGUUGCUGGGUAAACACCCGGUUUCCUCACUGUCCCGAAGGGUUCCUCAGGUGGGAUUAAAUUCUAGUCGCCAGAGGUAAUUUCCUUGACAACGAGUCUUUGUUCUCUCUCUCUCGCUCCCCCAGUCUCCUGCCUAUGUUUAGAGGAUGAUGGUCCAAAUAAACUAUGAAUCCUUGCCUCAGGACCUGUUUCUAGGGGACUCAGAUUAAGGCACUGGUGUUCUUACCACCUCUCCCUAACCCCAAUAUAAGUAUCUAUUCCUUAUAGAUUUUUGUGAUUUUCUUUUUUUCUU